rnacentral:tRNA from 1 species
ACCUGGGUGGCUCAGUCGGUUGAGCGUCCGACUUCAGCUCAGGUCAUGAUCUCACAGUUUGUGGGUUCGAGCCCCGCAUCAGGCU